rnacentral:sRNA from 1 species
CACAUCUUUUUACUGAUGAGACUAGCAUCAGAUUUUGUCACAUUUAGAGUCAUAGUCUAGCAAACCCUGACAUUGUCAUUCUCUGGACAACAAGCCUGGUAUUCUGUAAUGCCUUCAAGUGUUUUAGAGUGUUAUUCCCAUAAUAUGUAACUAUUACUUCAAAUAAACAUUCGUAUUUGCUGAUCUAUUUUCUUAAGAACAAGAGAGUGUCUCUGGAUUCUAUUGUAGUGUGAAUUCAGAGAAAGAAACGAGCUCUGACAGUGCAGCCUAGGGAAGAAGACUCCAGUCUGUUACUGUUUACUCAUUGAAAACGCAUACCAAAUCCUACACAAGUUCUUUAAAGCUGCAUAGCUCCCAAGAAAUCCAUACUGGGCUUUAUAAAAGAGGUGCUGGUUGACAGAAAGACAGAAAAACUGAGAAAGUGAUUUUAAAAUAUAACAUGAAGUUAAGUGAAGAUACAGGAACCCAGGAUAGCUAUAUAAGAAAAAAAGUGCACUGUAUGCUAUGAUUUGGGCCUUUAUGUGACAAUAUUUAUUUCUAGUUGGGGUACUACUGAACAAACUUUUGGAGAGAAGCAGGCCGUAAGAACUCUAGAAGUCUACAGAAGUUGUGAUGAGAAGUUAGGAGUGGCGAUGAGCAAGUCAAUGAAUUGUCUAAUGAAGCCUAAUGGAAGCGUCAGUGGGGAGUGGUUUAAUUAACUGAGGAAACUUGUCUCUGGCUGCCAAACUCAAGACUGUAGAAUGAAGAGGCAUUGUGUUCACAGAGGUGAGUGGGAAACACCACCAAGCCAGAUGUCCUCCUUGGUCCUCAGCCAUGAGUGGGGCCGUGCUCCUCCGUCUGUCAGCCUCCUGCACGUCAUCAAGAAGAUAAGGGUGAAGGAGGCAGGCAUCAAAGUUUGUGUGGCCGCAGUGGUGAUGGAGACAGCCAGAAGUGAAAGACUAGCCAUUAAAAGAGAGACUGAAAGUAAAUGGUGUAGAAUCCACACAGGGCAAUGAGAAGAACAGGGACCAGAGCUGUCUGGCAUCAGGCUGCAUGCCCUUUGGAGAGUGGCGGGAUGCCUAGGAGAGUGCAGACUUCAGUGCUCAGCCCACAGAUCAGAAGUCCAAUCUCUCCAUGUACUUCCUCAUGGAUGAAGUUCCCACAGCCAAGACCAAAUUUACUCUUCUGACUUUGGGAGAAUUAGAAUGGUGCAAAGCAACAGAACGGAAAGAGAGCUGGCUCCUCUCUCCAGUCAUUUAUCUCCAGUCUUAAUGUCGUUUCCUCACUGGGGCAGUAGUCUAUGCAGAAGAAGGUUCUAGCAAUGAUCUACAGCUCCACAGGUUUUUCACGGCAGAUGUAUGCGGUGACCAGUUGUCUUCAUCAUCCUUCUCCGAACAUAAACUUCACCUUAAACUUCAUGCCUGUACUCCAUGGACUUCCAUCUGGUGAGAAAGGUACUGACGGAUUUUCCAGGUAGCUGCAUCCUUUUUCCUUCUCUUCACAUCCCGCAUAGUACAAUCCAAAGACAGUGUAAAGUUUUGUACAAAAGCUACUGAAUGUCCCAGUAUGGCUUACAUUUAUAGAAUAAACCAACCAAAAUGUUGGGGUCGGGAAACUCAGGGGCUUAAAGACCAAUUGAAACAAGUUAUCUUGUCCUGUAACAUGUUUCUACAAGCAACAGGGGACAAGGAAAGUCUUUUACUGGGGAAAGAAAGAUGAAUUUGACCAUGACUUUGAAUUCUGAAGAUUCAGUGGCAGAAUUUGACAGGCAGGGUAGAUUUUUAAAGAGUAUAAACUGAGGAAGACCAAGAAGCAACUUCUGCAUGGAGAGGGUGAGGACCUGAAUUGGGAAAGUGACAGUAACAUAGGGACAGACUUCAGAGUCAAGACAACAGGCUCUUAAAUGUUGGCUGGGACAUUUAAAAACCACACCAUGGGGGGCUGGGGAUUUA